rnacentral:rRNA from 1 species
GGAACUGAAACAUCUAAGUACCCUGAGGAAAAGAAAUCAAUUGAGAUUCCCUAAGUAGCGGCGAGCGAACGGGGAUUAGCCCUUAAGCACAGAGGGUGUUAGUGGAAGCUUCUGGAAAGUGGCGCGAUACAGGGUGAUAGCCCCGUACACGAAAACUAACUUUGUGUGAAAUCGAGUAGGACGGGACACGUGAUAUCUUGUCUGAACAUGGGGGGACCAUCCUCCAAGGCUAAAUACUCCUGACUGAC